rnacentral:rRNA from 1 species
AUGAACGCUAGCUACAGGCUUAACACAUGCAAGUCGAGGGGCAGCAUGGUCUUAGCUUGCUAAGGCCGAUGGCGACCGGCGCACGGGUGAGUAACACGUAUCCAACCUGCCGUCUACUCUUGGACAGCCUUCUGAAAGGAAGAUUAAUACAAGAUGGCAUCAUGAGUCCGCAUGUUCACAUGAUUAAAGGUAUUCCGGUAGACGAUGGGGAUGCGUUCCAUUAGAUAGUAGGCGGGGUAACGGCCCACCUAGUCUUCGAUGGAUAGGGGUUCUGAGAGGAAGGUCCCCCACAUUGGAACUGAGACACGGUCCAAACUCCUACGGGAGGCAGCAGUGAGGAAUAUUGGUCAAUGGGCGAGAGCCUGAACCAGCCAAGUAGCGUGAAGGAUGACUGCCCUAUGGGUUGUAAACUUCUUUUAUAAAGGAAUAAAGUCGGGUAUGCAUACCCGUUUGCAUGUACUUUAUGAAUAAGGAUCGGCUAACUCCGUGCCAGCAGCCGCGGUAAUACGGAGGAUCCGAGCGUUAUCCGGAUUUAUUGGGUUUAAAGGGAGCGUAGAUGGAUGUUUAAGUCAGUUGUGAAAGUUUGCGGCUCAACCGUAAAAUUGCAGUUGAUACUGGAUAUCUUGAGUGCAGUUGAGGCAGGCGGAAUUCGUGGUGUAGCGGUGAAAUGCUUAGAUAUCACGAAGAACUCCGAUUGCGAAGGCAGCCUGCUAAGCUGCAACUGACAUUGAGGCUCGAAAGUGUGGGUAUCAAACAGGAUUAGAUACCCUGGUAGUCCACACGGUAAACGAUGAAUACUCGCUGUUUGCGAUAUACAGCAAGCGGCCAAGCGAAAGCGUUAAGUAUUCCACCUGGGGAGUACGCCGGCAACGGUGAAACUCAAAGGAAUUGACGGGGGCCCGCACAAGCGGAGGAACAUGUGGUUUAAUUCGAUGAUACGCGAGGAACCUUACCCGGGCUUAAAUUGCAGAUGAAUUACGGUGAAAGCCGUAAGCCGCAAGGCAUCUGUGAAGGUGCUGCAUGGUUGUCGUCAGCUCGUGCCGUGAGGUGUCGGCUUAAGUGCCAUAACGAGCGCAACCCUUGUUUUCAGUUACUAACAGGUCAUGCUGAGGACUCUGACAAGACUGCCAUCGUAAGAUGUGAGGAAGGUGGGGAUGACGUCAAAUCAGCACGGCCCUUACGUCCGGGGCUACACACGUGUUACAAUGGGGGGUACAGAGGGCCGCUACCACGCGAGUGGAUGCCAAUCCCAAAAACCUCUCUCAGUUCGGACUGGAGUCUGCAACCCGACUCCACGAAGCUGGAUUCGCUAGUAAUCGCGCAUCAGCCACGGCGCGGUGAAUACGUUCCCGGGCCUUGUACACACCGCCCGUCAAGCCAUGGGAGCCGGGGGUACCUGAAGUGCGUAACCGCGAGGAGCGCCCUAGGGUAAAACUGGUGACUGGGGCU